rnacentral:rRNA from 1 species
GGACUGAGAGGUUGAACGGCCACAUUGGGACUGAGACACGGCCCAGACUCCUACGGGAGGCAGCAGUGGGGAAUAUUGCACAAUGGGGGAAACCCUGAUGCAGCGACGCCGCGUGGAGGAAGAAGGUCUUCGGAUUGUAAACUCCUGUUGUUGAGGAAGAUAAUGACGGUACUCAACAAGGAAGUGACGGCUAACUACGUGCCAGCAGCCGCGGUAAAACGUAGGUCACAAGCGUUGUCCGGAAUUACUGGGUGUAAAGGGAGCGCAGGCGGGCGAUCAAGUUGGAAGUGAAAUCCAUGGGCUCAACCCAUGAACUGCUUUCAAAACUGGUCGUCUUGAGUAGUGCAGAGGUAGGCGGAAUUCCCGGUGUAGCGGUGGAAUGCGUAGAUAUCGGGAGGAACACCAGUGGCGAAGGCGGCCUACUGGGCACCAACUGACGCUGAGGCUCGAAAGUGUGGGUAGCAAACAGGAUUAGAUACCCUGGUAGUCCACACCGUAAACGAUGAUUACUAGGUGUUGGGAGAUUGACCCUCUCAGUGCCGCAGUUAACACAAUAAGUAAUCCACCUGGGGAGUACGACCGCAAGGUUGAAACUCAAAGGAAUUGACGGGGGCCCGCACAAGCAGUGGAGUAUGUGGUUUAAUUCGACGCAACGCGAAGAACCUUACCAAGUCUUGACAUCCCUUGACGAUGCUGGAAACAGUAUUUCUCUUCGGAGCAAGGAGACAGGUGGUGCAUGGUUGUCGUCAGCUCGUGUCGUGAGAUGUUGGGUUAAGUCACGCAACGAGCGCAACCCUUAUGGUCAGUUACUACGCAAGAGGACUCUGGCCAGACUGCCGUUGACAAAACGGAGGAAGGUGGGGAUGACGUCAAAUCAUCAUGCCCUUUAUGACUUGGGCUACACACGUACUACAAUGGCGUUAAACAAAGAGAAGCAAGACCGCGAGGUGGAGCAAAACUCAGAAACAACGUCCCAGUUCGGACUGCAGGCUGCAACUCGCCUGCACGAAGUCGGAAUUGCUAGUAAUCGUGGAUCAGCAUGCCACGGUGAAUACGUUCCCGGGCCUUGUACACACCGCCCGUCACACCAUGAGAGCCGGGGGGACCCGAAGUCGGUAGUCUAACCGCAAGGAGGACGCCGCCGAAGGUAAAACUGGUGAUUGGGGUGAAGUCGUAACAAGGUAGCCGUAGGAGAACCUGCGGCUG